UACGAAGGGGACUAGCGUUGUUCGGAAUUAUUGGGCGGAAAGAGCUCGUAGGUGGUUUGGUGAGUCGGGUGGGAAAUCUCCACGCUCAACGUGGAGGGGCCACCCGAUACUGCCAUGACUAGAGUCCGGUAGGGGAGUGUGGAAUUCCCGGUGUAGCGGUGAAAUGCACAGAGAUCGGGAGGAACACCCGUCGCGAAGGCGGCACUCUGGGCCGGUACUGACGCUGAGGAGCGAAAGCGUGGGGAGCAAACAGG
rnacentral:rRNA from 1 species